rnacentral:rRNA from 1 species
CCUACGGGAGGCAGCAGUGGGGAAUAUUGCACAAUGGGCGCAAGCCUGAUGCAGCCAUGCCGCGUGUGUGAAGAAGGCCUUCGGGUUGUAAAGCACUUUCAGCGGGGAGGAAGGCGGUGAGGUUAAUAACCUCAUCGAUUGACGUUACCCGCAGAAGAAGCACCGGCUAACUCCGUGCCAGCAGCCGCGGUAAUACGGAGGGUGCAAGCGUUAAUCGGAAUUACUGGGCGUAAAGCGCACGCAGGCGGUCUGUCAAGUCGGAUGUGAAAUCCCCGGGCUCAACCUGGGAACUGCAUUCGAAACUGGCAGGCUAGAGUCUUGUAGAGGGGGGUAGAAUUCCAGAUGUAGCGGUGAAAUGCGUAGAGAUCUGGAGGAAUACCGGUGGCGAAGGCGGCCCCCUGGACAAAGACUGACGCUCAGGUGCGAAAGCGUGGGGAGCAAACAGGAUUAGAUACCCUAGUAGUC